rnacentral:rRNA from 1 species
CGCAUCUGUGCAUGCAGCAUAUCAAUAAGCGGAGGAAAAGAAACUAACAAGGAUUCCCCUAGUAACGGCGAGUGAAGCGGGAAGAGCUCAAAUUUGAAAUCUUAAAGGGUUUCCCUUUAUGAAUUGUAGUUUAAAGAAGUGUUUUCUGUUGAGGUUUUGGUAAAAGUUCUUUGGAAUAGGACAUCAUAGAGGGUGAGAAUCCCGUAUUUGACCUUUACUUUCAACUUUGUGAUACACUUUCAAAGAGUCGGAUUGUUUGGGAAUGCAGUCCAAAAUGGGUGGUAAAUUUCAUCUAAAGCUAAAUAUUGGCGAGAGACCGAUAGCGAACAAGUACCGUGAGGGAAAGAUGAAAAGAACUUUGAAAAGAGAGUUAAACAGUACGUGAAAUUGUCAAAAGGGAAGCGUUUGACACCAGUGUUGUUUUUCUGAAAAUCAAUUAAAGAACUGUUUAUGCUAAGCUGUUUAGACUUUAUCAGCUAACUGUUUAGUUUUGAGCUUUUCUUUAAUGCACUUUUCAGUUAACAAGUCAACAUCAAUUUCUUUUGCUGUAAAAAAGCUUGAGGAAGGUGGCUUGAGAUUCGUCUUAAGUGUUUAUAGCCUCUUGCCUAUGCAGUCGGAGAGAUUGAGGUCUGCAGCGUAGAUCCUUCGGGGCUAAAUGCAUUUGUGCUAAGUUAUAGCAUUUUAUAGACAACUUGUUGACUAUGAUUUGUCUUGUAGCUUACUCGCUUAUGUUAUUUUACCUACGCUUAGGAUGUUGAAUCUGUGCGAGACUAC